rnacentral:sRNA from 1 species
GGGAUACUAGCGGGAGCAAUCUGGGUCCACCUCCCAUCCGUGUCUAUCUGUACCCUGUUGCUUCGGCGUGGCCACGGCCCGCCGGAGACUAACAUUUGAACGCUGUCUGAAGUUUGCAGUCUGAGUUUUUAGUUAAACAAUCGUUAAAACUUUCAACAACGGAUCUCUUGGUUCCGGCAUCGAUGAAGAACGCAGCGAAAUGCGAUAAUUAAUGUGAAUUGCAGAAUUCAGUGAAUCAUCGAGUCUUUGAACGCACAUUGCGCCCCCUGGUAUUCCGGGGGGCAUGCCUGUCCGAGCGUCAUUGCUGCCCUCAAGCACGGCUUGUGUGUUGGGCUUCCGUCCCUGGCAACGGGGACGGGCCCAAAAGGCAGUGGCGGCACCAUGUCUGGUCCUCGAGCGUAUGGGGCUUUGUCACCCGCUCCCGUAGGUCCAGCUGGCAGCUAGCCUCGCAACCAAUCUUUUUAACCAGGUUGACCUCGGAUCAGGUAGGGAUACCCGCUGAACUUAAGCAUAUCAAUAAGCCGGAGGAAAUUUUUUCAU